rnacentral:rRNA from 1 species
UACGUAGGGCGCAAGCGUUGUCCGGAAUUAUUGGGCGUAAAGAGCUCGUAGGCGGCCUGUUGCGUCCGCUGUGAAAUCCCGGGGCUCAACCCCGGGCGUGCAGUGGAUACGGGCUGGCUGGAGGCAGGCAGGGGAGAACGGAAUUCCUGGUGUAGCGGUGGAAUGCGCAGAUAUCAGGAGGAACACCGGUGGCGAAGGCGGGUCUCUGGGCCGAUACUGACACUGAGAAGCGAAAGCGUGGGGAGCGAACAGG